CCUACGGGAGGCUGCAGUGGGGAAUAUUGCGCAAUGGGCGAAAGCCUGACGCAGCGACGCCGCGUGAGGGAUGAAGGUCUUCGGAUCGUAAACCUCUGUCAGCAGGGAAGAACGGUCACUGUGCUAAUCAGCAGUGAAUUGACGGUACCUGCAAAGGAAGCACCGGCUAACUCCGUGCCAGCAGCCGCGGUAAUACGGAGGGUGCGAGCGUUAAUCGGAAUUACUGGGCGUAAAGCGCUCGUAGGCGGUAUGUCAAGUCAAGGGGGAAAUCCCCGCGCUCAACGUGGGAACUGCCUUUGAAACUGGCAAACUGGAGUGUGUGAGAGGAUAGUGGAAUUCCAGGGGGAGGAGUGAAAUCCGUAGAGAUCGGGAGGAACAUCAGUGGCGAAGGCGACUAUCUGGCACAUAACUGACGCUGAGGAGCGAAAGCGUGGGUAGCAAACAGGAUUAGAUACCCGUGUAGUC
rnacentral:rRNA from 1 species